rfam:Oceanobacter sp. HI0075 HI0075_c2434, whole genome shotgun sequence.
CGCGGGGUGGAGCAGCCUGGUAGCUCGUCGGGCUCAUAACCCGAAGGUCGUCGGUUCGAAUCCGGCCCCCGCAA